AAAUCAUACCAAACUCUAGCUUCAAAAUUAAGCACAAGUUCAUACCCAUAUCCAAUUCUGUUCCCCAUACCCAUACCAAAGUGUUGCGACAAUUUGCUUUUGCUGUAGUUUCCAUACCAACUCACUUUUGAAAUUUCAUCGAAUUCUGAGAUUUCAGAUCGGUUGGGAAGCCAUUAUCGAUCUCCAACGACGGUUCCAGACGAGAUCACUGGACCCAGGAAGGGAGAACAAUGGAGAAGAAGAAAGUCUCAAGACUUUGUGUAACAGGAGGUUCUGGAUAUAUUGGCAGUAGGCUUGUCAAAAAGCUCCUGGAGAAGGGCCACACAGUCCAUGCCACUCUCAAAAACUUAGAGGAUGUAUCAAAAGUAGGCCUUCUGAAGUCUCUCCCCAAUGCAGACACCAAUUUGUUGCUGUUCAGAGCUGACAUAUACAAUCCUAAUGACUUCGAACCUGCUAUUGAAGGGUGUGAGUUUGUUUUUCAUCUUGCAACUCCUAGGCAACAUAACUCCCAAAUCUCCCAGUACAAGGACACAGCUGAAGCUGCUAUUGCUGGGGUGAGAAGCAUUGCUGAUUCUUGCAUUCGGUCGCAGACAGUUAAGCGACUGAUCUACACUGCAAGCAUACUUUCUAUGUCACCAAGAAACGAGGGUGGAGUUGGAUUCAGACCCUUACUUGAUGAGUCAUGUUGGACACCGCUUGAUGCCUCAUCUACUUAUGGCAAUGCUUUCACAAUGGGGUACGUUAAAUCAAAGACCUUAGCUGAGAAAGCAGCGCUAAGCUACAAUGACUUUGAUGACAGUAAAUUAGAAGUGGUAACUCUUCCUUGUGGCUUAGUAUGAGGAGAAAGUCUUGUGUCAUAUUUGCCUUUCAGUGUGGGAGGGAUUCUGGCACAACUUACUGGGGACUUGUUUUCUUGCAAUGCAUUAAAAUUCAUGCAAGAAUUUAUGGGAUCAGUUCCUCUGGUGCACAUUGAUGAUGUUUGCCAAGCACAUAUCUUCUGCAUGGAACAGCCAUUAAUGGAAGGCAGAUUCUGUUGCGCAGUUGCCCGGCACUCUAUCAAAGAAAUUGCAAUAUACUUCCAAGAAACUUACCCAGAAUACAAGAUACAUAAGGAAUUGACUGAAGGGCCUGAAGAAGGAAGCCAAAGUGAUUUCAGUAAGCUGAAGAAGAUGGGCUUUGAGUACAAGUAUGGCAUCAAGGAGAUACUAGAUGACAGUGUAGCAUGGGCAAAGAAGUUAAAUGAGAGCUCUUUUUCCCAAGUAGUUUAGUCCUGGUAAUUCAAUUAUAAUGAUCCAGUAUCAUCAAAUUUGUCGACAAAAGAUAUAAUAAAAAUGACUGUCUGAUUC